GUGCUGGCAUUUAAAGAACAACAUGCCUACCUGAUACAAUCUUCCUAAAGUAAAAAAAAUUAUUUCCUGCUUGUGGUGUCGUUUGGAAGUUCUGCAAGUCCGAAUUGAGCAAACAUCC
rfam:Hordeum vulgare subsp. vulgare, WGS project CAJW01000000 data, contig: morex_contig_48673